ACGGGGGGUGCAAGCGUUGUUCGGAAUUAUUGGGCGUAAAGAGCGUGUAGGCGGCUGAAUAAGUCAGAUGUGAAAUCCCUGGGCUUAACCCAGGAAGUGCAUUUGAAACUAUUCAGCUUGAGUAGGGGAGAGGAAAGUGGAAUUCCUGGUGUAGAGGUGAAGUUCGUAGAUAUCAGGAGGAGCACCGGUGGCGAAGGCGACUUUCUGGCCCUAUACUGACGCUGAGACGCGAGAGCGUGGGUAGCAAGGAG
rnacentral:rRNA from 1 species